GGACCAAUAGCUCAGUUGGUAGAGCCCCCGGCUCAUAACCGGGUGGUCGGAGGUUCGACCCCUCCUUGGUCCACCA
rnacentral:tRNA from 1 species